rnacentral:rRNA from 1 species
UACGAAGGGGGCUAGCGUUGCUCGGAAUCACUGGGCGUAAAGCGCACGUAGGCGGACUCUUAAGUCAGGGGUGAAAUCCCGGAGCUCAACUCCGGAACUGCCUUUGAUACUGGCGAUCUUGAGUCCGGGAGAGGUGAGUGGAACUGCGAGUGUAGAGGUGAAAUUCGUAGAUAUUCGCAAGAACACCAGUGGCGAAGGCGGCUCACUGGCCCGGUACUGACGCUGAGGUGCGAAAGCGUGGGGAGCAAA